AGAAAUAUGGUAACAAAAGAGCUGACUAUAGGUAUGAUGCAGUAUCAGUGAUGUGACAGGAAAUGUUCAUCCCUCAGCUGGUCACCCAGCAUCCUUAUCAAUUCAAGACAUAUAAACCUCCUUCAAAUAACACUCUGCUAUCUUAUAAAGGGUAGAUCACCUGUGCUAUGUAGCUCUUAAACAAUAAAAACAGACCCUGGGAUCAUAUCUUGGGUCAAGUGGGACUGACUUUAGGUCUGUCAUAAGUUUAAAGGCUCAUGAGGUCAAAGUUUAUUUCAGUUUCCAUGGCAUAUUAACAUAACUAAAUAGUAUGGCAGAACAAUCAUGGCAAAACUAGACAGUUACAACUUGAGCCAGAUUUGGUACUUGAUUAGGUUAAUUAGUUAAAAAUAAUUGAGUAACUUACACGUGCAUUUCUUCCUGGUGGAAAGGAAUAUUUUUAGUGGUCCACCGAUUGAUCCAGUAACCAUGUUCAUCAAAUUCGCCAUCAGAGGUAGUUUUCUUUUCACUCUCAGUCAUAUUUGGUUCUU